AUGGAUCUGGCAACGGGCGCCAUGGGCUCCCUGCUCCCCAAGCUGGCCGAGCUCCUCAAGGAGGAGUACAUGCUGCAGACGAGCAUCAAGAAAAAAGUCGACUCUCUCGAGAAGGAGAUGAAGAGCAUGCAGGCUGCCCUAUGCAAGGUGCGUGACGUGCCGCGAGACCAGCUCGACAUACAGGUCAAGCUCUGGGCAGGGGAGGUGAGAGAGCUAUCCUUUGACAUGGAGGAUGUCGUCGACAAGUUCCUGGUGCGUGUCCAUGAUGGCUCUGAGCUUGCAGCCAACUCAAAUAAGCUCGCACGGCUCAUCAAGAAUAUGGUCAGGUUGUUCACCAAGGGGAAGGCUCGCCGUGAGAUCGCCACUGCGAUCAAGGACAUCAAUAAGCAAGUCCAGGAGGUUGCUAACAGGCGUGGAAGAAACGCCGUCGACAAUAUUGUUUGCGGGCCUACAACAGUGACACCCGUCGAUCCUCGCCUUCGGGUUCUGUACACUGAAGUGACAGAGCUGGUUGGCAUUGUUGGAAAAAGGGAUCAAGAACUAAUGAAGUUGCUCUCAGAGGGAGACAUCCUGUCCAAGGAGAAGUUAAAAAUUGUCUCCGUUGUAGGAUUUGGAGGAUUGGGCAAGACUACUCUUGUCAAAACAGUUUAUGAUAAUAUAAAAGAAGAUUUUGAUUGCCGGGCUUUUGUUCCAGUGGGUAGAAAUGCUGAUGGGAAGAAAGUUCUCAUGGACAUCCUUGUUGAUCUUGGCAUGUGCGGAAGCAAUCUCACCCUGUGGAAUGAAAGACAGCUUAUCAACAAACUCAGGGAAAGUCUACAGAACAAGAGGUACCUCAUUGUAAUUGAUGAUAUAUGGGAUGAAAAACUAUGGGCCACUAUUAACUUGGCAUUCUCUAAGAGUAACACGUUUGGCAGUCGGUUGAUCACAACAACUCGUAUAGUGAGUGUAUCUAAAUUGUGUUGCUCCUCUAGUACUGAUUCAGUUUAUCAAAUGGAACCUCUUAGUGAUGAUGAUUCCAAAAGGCUCUUCUAUAAAAGGAUAUUUUCUGGCGAGAGUGGAUGUCCUCCUAAAUUUGAUGAAGUGUCCACAAAUAUAUUGGAGAAAUGUGGUGGAGUGCCACUAGCCAUCAUUACUAUAGCUAGUCUUUUGGCUAGUGAUCAAUGCAUAAAACCAGAGGAUGAAUGGCAUGUUUUGCUUAAGUCUAUUGGUCAUGGACUUACAGAGAACCCCAGUGUAGAGGAGAUGAUGAGGAUACUAUCAUUUAGCUAUUAUGAUCUUCCUUCUCAUCUGAAGACAUGUUUAUUAUAUUUAAGCAUGUUCCCGGAAGAUCAAGAAAUUAAAAAGGAUGGGUUAAUAUGGAUGUGGAUUGCAGAAAGCUUUGUCGAGUCUGGAAAUGGAAGAAUUAGUCUCUUUGAGAUUGGAGAAACAUACUUCAAUGAGCUUGUGAACAAAAGCAUGAUCCAGCCGGUAUAUGAUAAAGAAAGCGUCAUAGGCACAAUAUGUGCUUGUCGUGUACAUGAUAUGGUGCUUGAUCUCAUUUGUUUGUUAUCAAGGGAAGAGAACUUCGUUACUAUAGUGAAUGGUGUUAGCAAAGAAGAACAUGAAGCCACACCUCUGGAAUCUGGGCGUAUAUUACAAGUGAGGUCCAUUGCUACAUUUGAACCUGCCAUUCGUGUAAUGCCAUCUUUCUCGAGCUUUGAUGUUUUACGUGUAUUGGAUAUGACUAAAUGCCAUCUUGGCCCUAGUUGUCAUCUUAACCUUCGGGAAUUGGGGAGUUUAUUCCACCUAAGGUACCUAGGUCUAGCCAGUACAGGUAUUUCUAAGCUCCCAGAAGAAGUUGGAAAGUUGCAAUUUCUGCAGGUGCUGGAUUUGAGUAAUAAUUAUGAUAUACAAGAACUGCCAUCUACUAUUAGUAAGUUGGGAAGAUUGAUGUGCCUGCUUAUUAGCCAUUACUGCAAGAGAUUUCCAGAUGGAUUGGGAAACAUGUCCUCAAUGGAAGUGCUGCGUGACAUCAAUGGUGACACUCUAAGCAUUGUGAAAGAGCUGGGCAAGAUGAAAAGAUUGAGAAAGCUCGCAAUUAGGUUUGGUAAUUUGAGCUUGGAGUUGGAGGAAGCUUUUGUGAAGUCCCUGGGGGAAAUGGCCAACAUCCAAAGUGUAAGCAUUGGAUGUGAUUUUAAAUUUGUGGACAUCUUGGGGGAACAUUGGGUGCCCCCUCGAAGUCUCCGGGAAUUUACCACAUUCAGAGAUGUCAAGUUCUCCAUACUGCCUGCAUGGAUAAGAAAUAAUCCCUUGCAUCUUCCACAACUCUCUAACUUAAGCAUCUUCGUCGAGGAAGUGCAACAGGCUGAUCUGAGAUCCCUUGGAAAGUUACCGGCUCUUUGUAAUCUCGCCUUGUGGAGCCUCCGCCGAAGCAAGCUGCUAGUCAUCGGUGCCGAUGAGUUCCAUUGUCUGACAUCAUUCACGUCCUUUUCUGGUUCACCAGGCCAAGUCGUGUUCCAGCCAGGAGCUUUGCUGAAGAUUGAAGUAAUUGUCAUCGAUAUCGGCCUGCAGGUCACAAGAGAGGAAGUAGUUGGCAGUGUUGGAUAUUGUUUUGAUCUGAGCAUGGGGAACUUGCCAUCCCUUCGGGACGUCACUGUCAGAUUUGACCGUUCCGGAGUGACGGUCGGUGAGGCCAAGCAAGCGGAGGUUGCUCUAGGGAACACACUCCGCACCCAUCCUAACCGUCCCACCUUUGAAAUUUCCAUCAGGCCGAGCAUACCAGAAGACGCUCCUGAUGGUGACGUCCACAUUGAGGAGGAGUGA
rnacentral:rRNA from 1 species